rnacentral:rRNA from 1 species
UACGUAGGGCGCGAGCGUUGUCCGGAUUUAUUGGGCGUAAAGAGCUCGUAGGCGGCUCAUUGCGUCAACCGUGAAAACCUGCCGCUCAACGGUAGGCUUGCGGUUGAUACGGGUGGGCUGGAGUUCGGUAGGGGAGACUGGAAUUCCUGGUGUAGCGGUGAAAUGCGCAGAUAUCAGGAGGAACACCGGUGGCGAAGGCGGGUCUCUGGGCCGAUACUGACGCUGAGGAGCGAAAGCGUGGGGAGCGAACAGG